AGAAUCAACGCUGGCGGCGUGCCUAACACAUGCAAGUCGCACGAGAAAGGGACUUCGGUCCUGAGUAAAGUGGCGCACGGGUGAGUAACACGUGAAUCAUCUACCUCCGAGUGGGGAAUAACCUAGAGAAAUCUGGGCUAAUACCGCAUAACACUUACGAGUCAAGGCAGCAAUGCGCUUGGAGAGGAGUUCGCGGCAGAUUAGUUAGUUGGCGGGGUAAUGGCCCACCAAGACGAUGAUCUGUA
rnacentral:rRNA from 1 species